AGAGUUUGAUCCUGGCUCAGGAUGAACGCUAGCGGCAGGCCUAAUACAUGCAAGUCGAACGGGCUGGAGUAGCAAUACUCUAGUUAGUGGCGCACGGGUGCGUAACGCGUAUGCAACCUACCUUUUAUUGGGGGAUAGCCCGAAGAAAUUCGGAUUAAUACCGCAUAACACUGUUUGAGGGCAUCUGAAGACAGUUAAAGCUACGGCGAUAAAAGAUGGGCAUGCGUGUCAUCAGCUAGUUGGUGAGGUAACGGCUCACCAAGGCGACGAUGACUAGGGGUUCUGAGAGGAUGAUCCCCCACACUGGUACUGAGAUACGGACCAGACUCCUACGGGAGGCAGCAGUAGGGAAUAUUGGGCAAUGGCCGAAAGGCUGACCCAGCCAUGCCGCGUGCCGGAUGAAGGCCUUCUGGGUUGUAAACGGCUUUUACCAGGGAAGAAACUACCUUUGCGAAGGGAACUGACGGUACCUGGGGAAUAAGCACCGGCUAACUCCGUGCCAGCAGCCGCGGUAAUACGGAGGGUGCCAGCGUUGUCCGGAUUUAUUGGGUUUAAAGGGUGCGUAGGCGGCUUAAUAAGUCCGUGGUGAAAGCCAACAGCUCAACUGUUGAACUGCCAUGGAUACUGUUAAGCUGGAGUACAGACGAGGUAGGCGGAAUGGAUGGUGUAGCGGUGAAAUGCAUAGAUACCAUCCAGAACCCCGAUUGCGAAGGCAGCUUACUAGACUGUCACUGACGCUGAGGCACGAAAGCGUGGGGAGCGAACAGGAUUAGAUACCCUAGUAGUCC
rnacentral:rRNA from 1 species